rnacentral:rRNA from 6 species
UUAAAUUGAAGAGUUUGAUCAUGGCUCAGAUUGAACGCUGGCGGCAGGCCUAACACAUGCAAGUCGAACGGUAACAGGAAGCAGCUUGCUGCUUCGCUGACGAGUGGCGGACGGGUGAGUAAUGUCUGGGAAACUGCCUGAUGGAGGGGGAUAACUACUGGAAACGGUAGCUAAUACCGCAUAACGUCGCAAGACCAAAGAGGGGGACCUUCGGGCCUCUUGCCAUCGGAUGUGCCCAGAUGGGAUUAGCUAGUAGGUGGGGUAACGGCUCACCUAGGCGACGAUCCCUAGCUGGUCUGAGAGGAUGACCAGCCACACUGGAACUGAGACACGGUCCAGACUCCUACGGGAGGCAGCAGUGGGGAAUAUUGCACAAUGGGCGCAAGCCUGAUGCAGCCAUGCCGCGUGUAUGAAGAAGGCCUUCGGGUUGUAAAGUACUUUCAGCGGGGAGGAAGGCGAUAAGGUUAAUAACCUUGUCGAUUGACGUUACCCGCAGAAGAAGCACCGGCUAACUCCGUGCCAGCAGCCGCGGUAAUACGGAGGGUGCAAGCGUUAAUCGGAAUUACUGGGCGUAAAGCGCACGCAGGCGGUCUGUCAAGUCGGAUGUGAAAUCCCCGGGCUCAACCUGGGAACUGCAUUCGAAACUGGCAGGCUAGAGUCUUGUAGAGGGGGGUAGAAUUCCAGGUGUAGCGGUGAAAUGCGUAGAGAUCUGGAGGAAUACCGGUGGCGAAGGCGGCCCCCUGGACAAAGACUGACGCUCAGGUGCGAAAGCGUGGGGAGCAAACAGGAUUAGAUACCCUGGUAGUCCACGCCGUAAACGAUGUCGACUUGGAGGUUGUGCCCUUGAGGCGUGGCUUCCGGAGCUAACGCGUUAAGUCGACCGCCUGGGGAGUACGGCCGCAAGGUUAAAACUCAAAUGAAUUGACGGGGGCCCGCACAAGCGGUGGAGCAUGUGGUUUAAUUCGAUGCAACGCGAAGAACCUUACCUACUCUUGACAUCCAGAGAACUUUCCAGAGAUGGAUUGGUGCCUUCGGGAACUCUGAGACAGGUGCUGCAUGGCUGUCGUCAGCUCGUGUUGUGAAAUGUUGGGUUAAGUCCCGCAACGAGCGCAACCCUUAUCCUUUGUUGCCAGCGGUCCGGCCGGGAACUCAAAGGAGACUGCCAGUGAUAAACUGGAGGAAGGUGGGGAUGACGUCAAGUCAUCAUGGCCCUUACGAGUAGGGCUACACACGUGCUACAAUGGCGCAUACAAAGAGAAGCGACCUCGCGAGAGCAAGCGGACCUCAUAAAGUGCGUCGUAGUCCGGAUUGGAGUCUGCAACUCGACUCCAUGAAGUCGGAAUCGCUAGUAAUCGUGGAUCAGAAUGCCACGGUGAAUACGUUCCCGGGCCUUGUACACACCGCCCGUCACACCAUGGGAGUGGGUUGCAAAAGAAGUAGGUAGCUUAACCUUCGGGAGGGCGCUUACCACUUUGUGAUUCAUGACUGGGGUGAAGUCGUAACAAGGUAACCGUAGGGGAACCUGCGGUUGGAUCACCUCCUUACCUUAAAGAA